AGUCGCGGCAGGCAAGCUGCAGUGUAGGUCACAGACGCAGCGAGGAAGGAUCAUGUGGCUGUGGCUGUGGUGCAGGCCUCUGUUGCAUCUCUUAUUCCACCCCCAGCCCAGGAACUUCCAUGUAUUCCAGCUGUGGCCCUAGAAAGAAAAGCGUGGUAGCCGAUGGGAGUAAAUUGGUUACUGAAAAAUUGAGACUCAAUCCUAAGUCGCAGCUCGGGAAAAACAAAAACAAAACCCUCGCGUCGUAAGCCAGCCUCCAGAGCCUUUUGCCUGUGGCACUUUGGAUGUUUAUUUCUGCUUCAGGCUGGAGAAGGGGAAGGUAGCCGCGGAGACACUCGGGAAGAGAAAGAGGGAGAGGGGAUCACGGAGAAGAACUCAUCACUCUGCCACACGCGUGACAGCAACAUUUAAAAUACGGAAGAGACCAAUUCUUUACCAUGGAAUUGCCUUGGCAUCCCUGCCAAAAAACAACUGGAUCUACAUCUGGAUGCUGUCUUUUGUGCCAGUGAUACAUAUGCCUCUUUUUACACUGACCAUUUGCUCACAUUAAAAGAAGUUGAUAAAAUGAACUGUCAUGAAAAUAAUAGAUGUCCUGUAUUUAAUGACUCUCUUCAAAAUGUGGACAAUUCUUCAAGCCUGGUCGUGGUCUUGAAAUUGUUUCAUCACACAAACAUCAACAUAGAAUCAAAGGAGUCAUUGAGAAGAUGUGACAGCAGGUUGACCCUUGAACUGGACGGGGCAGUUGGAGGCUCCUCACCCCUCCCCUGUCAUUCGAUGUACCUUCUGCCCACUGUUCCCGCACCAGGACCUGUUCCAAGGACACAGCCUUGAGACAGCAAAGUAUUGCUGAGACCAUCUGGACAGUAGAUGGACUGAACCCCAUUUAAGAUUCCAGUUAAACUUUUAAGAUUCUCAUGGGAUCUUCUCCUCUCGAAGCCACGAAUGCAAGUUCCCUGCUUAUUAAACCUGCACCUGCCGGUCUAGAGUGACUGCCUCUUUCUUUGGUCUCUCUCUGCCCUGCUUCUCGGCCACGGGGCCAUUUCAGAUCUCACCCUGGAAACUCCUGCAGUUGCAAACCAAUGAUGUGUUAUAACAUCAAACAAAAAGUGAUUUCAUUCUCUUAUAUUUAUAACAGCGUUUACAUGGAAAAAUCAAAUCAUUUAUGUUAAGAUUUUGUAUUCUGAGAGGAUGAGAAUUUCCAGUUUGUUAGGAUGUUUAAAAGGCCUAAUGGUUUUAAUCAUUGCUAUAUUUACUCAGUUAAACAUUUGCUUAUUGUAGUAUUAAAAAAUAAUCUUGAAGUUUUGGGGUUUUUAAAAUCAUGUUUCAAUAAAUGAAAGUAUCUC
rnacentral:lncRNA from 1 species